rnacentral:rRNA from 1 species
GUCUACAGCCAUACCACCCUGAAGGCACCCGAUCUCGUCUGAUCUCGGAAGCUAAGCAGGAUCAGGCCUAGUUAGUACUUGGAUGAGAGACUAAACUGAUUUCA